CAAUGUUACUACAAUGACCCACACAUAAAAUCCAAUAUUUUAAUACACAACAGGCAGCAACCCACAUAACUCCCAGAUCCAACAAUCAGCGUACAUAGUACUUUCACUCGAGUUCCGCGACUUUCAGUUCUGUCUGGUAGUUGUUGAGAGACACUUGUGUUUGAAAACUGCUCACUUGAACAAAACUCCCUCAAUCUAACUUGUUUUUGGGUUCUUUUUGCACACCCAAUCAUCAAGUUUCAAUCUUUCUUUCACUUGCUCUGGUCUUUAAGUCAAUUCUGUGAUAUGGGUUUUCAAGAUUUUCAAGAAAAGUGUAAAACCCUUGAUUGGAUUGUUUUUAGGAACAGAUUAGAUGUUCUGGAAUUGAAUUGAGUGAAGUUGAAGAAGAGAAGGGUUGAUAUGGGGAGAUUUGUAGGUGGGAUUUUGCUGCCUUUGUUUCUGCUCUCAGCUGCAUUCCUGAAUUGGAGUUUAAUCUCCCUGGUUGAUUUGGCAGUCUCUCUUCUUAUUCUAUACAAAGCACCAAAACGAGGCUUCCGUUAUAAAGGACUUCUAUUAUUGUGGCCACUUAUAAUUUUUUCUCUUCUUGAUAUUCUUUCUCAAGUGACAUUUCUUAUAGUGUGUGCUGUUAAGGGUGAUGGAUGUGGGAUGGCAGAUUCUUGGUGGGCAAAGUCAAUUGGGUUCAUGAAGCUUCAGUCCUGGAGAUAUCCGUCAGUAAUUUAUUACUUGGUUGUACAAGUAUUUGUGGUUUUCACUGCCUUAAGUGAAGUCCACAGAAACAAGCAUGGUUUGGUUCUGUCACAAGAUUCCUGGUGGGCACGUUUCUCAUUGUUUUUUGAGCGUUUAGGUUAUCAUGUCAGGGUUGCUUUCUGCUUGUUAGUACCUGCCAUCCAAUUAGUUGUGGGAAUUAGCAAGCCUUCCUGGGUGUCUUUGCCAUUUUUCAUUUGUAGCUGUGUUGGUCUUGUUGAUUGGUCCUUAACCAGCAACUUUCUUGGCCUUUUUAGGUGGUGGAAGCAACUUUGGAUGUAUGCAGGGAUAAACAUCAUCCUACUAUAUGUCUAUCAGCUCCCAAUUGGGUUGCCAAAAAUGUUCCAUGUGCUAGCUAAAUUUGUUGGACUUUACAAGAUCUCUGCCCAGUCUGAAGGGCUGGAAGUUCUUUCUGGCGUAUCUCUUAUGGCAUUCUACUUCAUGCUGUCAUGUGUCAAAUCUGAUUUGGAAGACAUGGAUUUUAUCAUGUCCAGUGGAGAAGGCAAUCUGACUGAGCAUCUUCUUCCCUUAAAGCAGUCUUUCUUAAUUCGUCAAUCAAGGUCUGGUGUUAAUCACACCAACGUAAUGAUACGAGGUGCAGUUUUCCGGACUUUUAGCAUCAACUUUUUCACGUAUGGUUUCCCGGUCUCUUUGUUUGCUCUAUCAUAUUGGAGUUUCCACUUUGCAAGCGUCUGUGCAUUCGGAUUACUCGCUUAUGUCGGCUACAUCAUAUUUGCUUUUCCGUCGCCUUUCCGUUUACAUCGGUUGAAUGGAUUGAUUCUUGUCUUCAUACUCUUGUGGGCUGUUAGUACAUAUAUCUUUAAUGUGGCAUUUACAUUUCUAGACUGGAAUGGGGAGGAUAUGGAAAUCUGGGAGAUGGUAGGGUUAUGGCAUUACUCAAUACCAGGACUUUUUUUACUUGCUCAGUUUUGUCUUGGAAUUCUGGUUGCUCUUAAUAAUCUUGUCAACAACUCUGUAUUUCUCUACAUGUCUGAUGAGGCUAGGCAAUCAUCACGUAACAAUUCUACUGAUGAAGGGAGAGAAGAGACUGAAGUAAUGAUUGUGGCUACAAUUGCCUGGGGACUCCGGAAAUGUUCUCGAGCUAUCAUGCUCCUGCUAAUAUUUCUCAUCGCAGUGAAACCUGGUUUCAUCCAUGCCUUAUAUAUGGUGUUCUUUUUCAAGUAUCUUUUGAGUCACAGCAUCAGCAGAAAGCUACGCCAAGCCCUAAUACUUCUGUGUGAGAUUCAUUUCACAGUGUUGUACACUCUCCAAAUUAAUCUGAUCUCUAAAAGUUUGGAAACCCAAAGCUCGUUAAGUUUGGAAAUUUUGUCUCAAUUAGGCCUCAUUGAUUAUGAUUCGACCUGGGAUUUCGUGGAAAUAGCGCUGCUUGCAUGCUUCUGUGCCAUUCAUAAUCACGGCUUUGAAAUGUUGGUUUCAUUCUCUGCCAUCAUACAGAACACACCCUGUCGCCCGGUUGGAUUUACUAUUCUGAAAGCUGGUUUAAACAAGUCCGUUUUGCUAUCAGUGUAUUCCUCUCGGACCACCAGCGGCAUUCAUGGCAAUCCUUCUAAUGAGCGACAGAUUGCCUCGUACCUCAGUGCUAUUAGCCAGAAAAUCUUAACAUUGUAUCGAUCAUUUGGAACGUAUAUCGCGUUACUGACUAUUCUUGUAGCAGUGUACCUGGUAAAUCCUAAUUACACAUCAUUUGGCUACCUUUUUCUGCUACUUACAUGGAUUACAGGAAGACAACUUGUUGAGAAGACAAAAAGGCGCCUCUGGUUUCCACUCAAAGUAUAUGCGAUUCUGGUGUUUGUUUUUGUCUAUAUAUUGAGCAUCUUUCCUAGUGUUGAGGCAUGGCUCUCAAGAAAAUUAGAUCUUUAUUCAAUUUUUGGUUAUAGCUCCCAAGCUCCAUUAUUACAGAAUUUGUGGGAAUCUCUAGCAAUUAUGAUUGUGAUGCAACUAUAUAGCUAUGAGAGGAGGCAAAGCAAGUUUCUAGUUACAGAAAAUCAAACUCCAGCGCAGUUUGGAGCACUUGGCUUUAUCAGAAGGCUCCUAAUUUGGCACAGCCAAAAGCUAUUACUAGCUGCUUUGUUCUAUGCAUCACUGUCUCCAAUAAGCACAUGUGGCUUCUUGUAUCUCAUAGGCCUUGUCGUCUGCUCAAAUUUACCGAAAGCUUCCCGGAUCCCUUCUAAAUUAUUUUUGGUUUACACAGGAAUUUUGGUGACAGUUGAAUACUUGUUUCAAAUGUGGGGUAAACAUGCUGAGAUGUUUCCCAAUCAAAAACAUUAUUGGUUAUCCUUGCUUCUUGGUAUACAGGUGUAUAAACCUGGUUUUUGGGGUCUGGAAGCAGGUUUGAGAGGCAAAAUUCUGGUGAUUGCUGCAUGUACACUUCAGUAUAAUGUCUUUCAUUGGUUGGAGCAGAUUCCCAGUUCCCUUUUGGAUGAUAAUACAUGGGAAGAGCCUUGUCCAUUAUUUGUUUCAACUGAGGAUGUGUUGCCGGUUGUAUCAAGUUCUGAUGUUGAUCAGGACCCAACAUUAGGUUCAAGUCAUGAAAAGAGAAAAGGUUGGACAAGCAGUUCAUGGCCAUCACUUCAUACAGACGUAAAUCAUUCAUCUUAUGAUGUAUCCCAUAGUGAAAGUGGUUCUGCAAGUAAAUAUACGUUCGGAUAUAUCUGGGGAAGUAUCAAGGACAGUCACAAGUGGAAUAAUAAGCGAAUUCUUGAUUUGAGGAAGGAGAGAUUUGAUAUACAGAAGACUACUCUUAAAACAUAUUUAAUGUUUUGGACAGAAAACAUGUUCAAUCUUUUUGGCCUUGAGAUUAAUAUGAUUACGUUGCUUCUUGCAAGUUUUCUUGUGCUCAAUGCCGUUUCUAUACUAUAUGUUGCGUCUCUUUCAGCUUGUGUUCUCAUGGGUCGGCGCAUUAUUCGUAAACUGUGGCCAAUAAUUGUCUUCUUGUUUGCUUCCAUUCUUGUGCUCGAAUACUUUGCGAUUUGGAACCAUGUGAUGUCAUUAAAUCCACAAGGCUCAGAUGGGGAUGUUUCACAUUGCCAUGAUUGCUUUAGAAUCUCAAACACAAAUUUCCAUUACUGCACAAAAUGUUGGCUGGGACUCAUAGUUGAUGAUUAUCGCAUGUUGAUAAGCUAUUAUGUUGUCUUCAUGGUUGCAUGUUACAAACUUCGAGCUGAUCAGUUCUCCAGGUUCUCAGGAUCAUUUACAUAUCGACAAAUGAUCUCUCAGCGUAAAAAUGCUUUUGUUUGGAGGGAUCUUUCUUUUGAAACCAAAAGUAUGUGGACUUUUAUCGAUUAUCUGAGGCUUUACUGCUAUUGUCAUCUACUGGAUCUGGUACUUGCAUUAAUAUUGAUUACAGGAACGCUCGAGUAUGACAUUCUGCAUCUUGGUUAUCUUGCUUUCGCUGUAAUCUUUUUCCGCAUGAGACUUACAAUACUUAAGAAAAAGAACAAGAUCUUCAGAUUUUUGCGCAUAUACAACUUUGUUGUAAUUGUGCUAUCACUUGCAUAUCAAUCUCCUUUUUUGGGUGAUUACAAUCCUGGUAGAUGUGAGACUAGGGAUUAUAUUUAUGAGGUGAUUGGAUUUUACAAGUAUGACUAUGGGUUUCGUAUAACCUCAAGAUCUGCUUUGGUUGAGAUCAUCAUAUUUCUUCUGGUGUCACUGCAGUCAUAUAUGUUCUCCUCUGCAGAAUUUGAUCAUGUGUUUCGAUAUCUUGAAACUGAACAAAUUGGUGCUGUGGUACGUGAGCAAGAAAAGAAAGCAGCAUGGAAGACCGCACAACUACAACAUAUUCGUGAAAACGAAGAGAAGAAACGUCUGCGAAACUUACAAGUGGAGAAGAUGAAAUCUGAGAUGCUGAACCUACAGAUCCAGCUACACAGUAUGAACUCAGCUGUAGGUUGUGGUGACAUGUCUCCAGGUAGCGAAGGCUUAAGAAGGAGGUCUACAUAUAAAAUCGGGAAAGAUGCUGGAAAACUUGAUUUUGAAGAAGGCAUGCCUGCAGCACAAGGAAUAAACACGUACGAAGACGUAGUCUACCCUUCCGAACCAAAUGAUUCUCCUACGAGUGCAAGAACUGAAAGUCCAUGGGCAGGGGCUUUUACUAAGCAUUUUAUGGGAUCUCCUGUUAAUGAAAUCACAGAACUCGAAGAGGAUGAUAGAGUUAAUGAACAUAUUGAUUUGGAUGACGAAAAGAAAAGAAAACUCCAAGGAAAGGAAAAUGCUUUAAGUUCGGCUGUACAAUUGAUAGGUGAUGGUGUAUCCCAAGUACAAACCAUUGGAAAUCAGGCUGUUAACAACCUUGUGAACUUCUUGAACAUUGGUGAUGAGGAAUCAGAUAGAAAUGCGCCCUUCUCUGCUGAAGAUGGAUUGGUCAAGGAAACAGAAAACCAAAAUAUGAAGUAUGUUAGCUUUAACCGUUCACAUUCCUUGCAGUCUGACAAGAGCAGAGCUUUUUCUGAUACAACAAAGCUACAAAUAGGAAGAAUUUUUCAUCAUAUAUGGUUCCAGAUGCGAUCAAAUAACGAUAUUGUAUGUUAUUGUUGCUUUCUUCUUAUCUUUCUCUGGAAUUUCAGCAUUCUUUCUAUGGUAUAUCUUGCCGCACUCUUCUUAUAUGCUCUCUGUAUAAAUACUGGGCCAAGUUACAUAUUUUGGGUCGUUAUGCUCAUAUACACUGAAAUAUACAUAUUGGCUCAGUAUUUGUAUCAGAUCAUCAUCCAACACUGUGGUUACAUCAUCCAGUCAACCCUUCUUCAGGAGAUAGGGUUUCCCGAGAAACCAAUAACAUCAUCAUUUGUUAUAAGUCUGCUGCCUCUUUUUCUGGUAUACUUAUUUACCCUUCUGCAGAGCUCUAUAACAGCCAAAGAUAGUGGCUGGAUGUCGUGGACAGAAUUUACUACCUUAAAGGGGAGUGAUAUUUAUCAGAAUGAUAUUCAUGUGACUUCUAGCUGGCAUAGUAGGGUGUAUAAAUUGCUUCAACCUGCAAUUGGAAUGGCGAAGAUGAUAGCGAAAAGUUGUACAAGGUACUUAAAGUCUCUGACGCAAGAGGCCGAAUCUCCUCCAUACUUGGUACAGUUGUCUGUGGAUGUCCAUUUGUGGCCAGAAGAUGGAAUCCAACCAGAAAGAAUUGAAUCUGGACUAAAUCAACUUCUGAGGAUUGUACACGAUGAGAGAUGCAAGGAAGAUAACCCAAAAUCUUGCCCUUGUGCUAGCCGGGUUCAAGUUCAAAGCAUUGAAAAAAGUACGGAAGAUGCUAAUGUUGCUUUGGCUGUUUUUGAGGUGGUAUUUGCCAACUCAUGGAGAGAAUGUGAACCAGCGGAAAGAUUCAAGUCUCUAACUCCAGCUGCUGAUGUAGCAAAAGAAAUUCUUAUAGCACAACAAACUGGAAUUUCAGAACAAAUUGGCUUUCCAUACUCAAUACUUUCUGUGAUUGGGGGAGGAAAAAGAGAAGUCGAUCUUUAUGCCUAUAUAUUUGGUGCAGAUUUGUCUGUGUUCUUUCUGGUUGCCAUCUUUUACCAGUCUGUUAUUAAAAAUAAAAAAGAAUUUCUAGAUGUUUAUCAGCUAGAAGAUCAGUUUCCAAAAGAGUUCGUAUUUAUGUUAAUGAUAAUCUUCUUCUUGAUAGUACUUGAUCGUAUUAUAUACUUGUGCUCCUUUGCUACGGGAAAAGUGAUCUUCUACCUUUUCAACCUUGUUCUUUUUACAUAUUCAGUUACGCAGUAUGCUUGGCAGAUGCAGCCAUCACAGGAAAGUACCACAGGUUUGGCACUCCGUGCUAUAUAUGUGACGAAGGCAGUUUCUCUGGCAUUGCAAGCCAUUCAGAUUCGAUAUGGGAUUCCUCAUAAAAGCACCUUGUACCGACAGUUCCUGACCAGCAAAGUUUCUCGAAUCAACUACUUGGGAUACAGGCUGUAUCGGGCCUUGCCAUUUCUUUAUGAAUUACGAUGUGUGCUUGAUUGGUCCUGCACAACCACAUCCCUGACAAUGUACGACUGGCUGAAGGUAAGAAGAGCUGGAGGACAUCAACGCGAGCCUGUACCUUGUCAAAAGUGAUGCGGUUUUGAAUAGAUCUGGACACAAACAAGGAGAGAAGCAGCCAAAAAUGACUAAAUUUUGCAAUGGGAUAUGCUUGUUCUUCAUAUUGAUUUGUGUUAUUUGGGCUCCCAUGCUGAUGUACAGCAGUGGUAAUCCAACAAAUAUUGCAAAUCCUAUCAAUGAUGCGAGUGUUCAGUUUGAUAUAAAGACGGAUGGAGGAAGAUUAACUUUGUACCAGACAACUCUAUGUGAAAGAAUUCCAUGGUAUAACAUAAAAAAUGUCUCGACUCUUGAUCCGAACGGCUACCUGGAUGCAUAUGACGACGAUGAUAUCCAAUUAAUUUGUUGCCAAGCUGAUGCUAGUUCCUUGUGGCUUGUUCCCGAUGUAGUGCAGAAAAAAUAUGUUCAAUCCCUUUCCAGCAACAUGGAAAUCAGGUUCUCUUGGGUAUUAACCAGGGAUAGACCAAAAGGGAAGGAAGUUGUGAAAUACGAGAAUUUGGUUGAUCCAGUUAAUCUCCCAAAAGCAUGGGAGAUCAAGGAGGUUCUAAAUGGUUCCGCUGACAGCUUCAGGACAUAUAACCUUUAUCCAAGAAAAUUCCGUGUUACUGGUUCUGGUGAUGUCAGACCUUUUGAGCAAGAGCAGGUGGAUGAUGUGACCGGAGAUCUAGUACUGAAUCGAGGAGACCCUGAGUGGUGGUCAUUCUACGAUGUUCAUUCUCCAGCUGUUAAAAGUUGUGGGAACUUGACCGGGCCUAUGGCCAUUAUUAUAUCAGAGGAAACACCACAGGGCUUUCUUGGUGAAACUCUCAGCAAAUUCAGUAUAUGGGGUCUCUAUAUCACAUUUGUGCUAGCAGUUGGCCGGUUUAUUAGACUUCAGUGCGCUGAUCUGCGAAUGAGAAUCCCAUACGAAAACCUUCCCUCUUGUGACAGGUUGAUUGCCAUUGUUGAAGAUAUAUACGCAGCAAGAGCAGAGGGUGAGCUUGGAGUCGAGGAGGUGCUAUAUUGGACAGUGGUCAAGAUCUACAGAUCACCUCACAUGUUGCUCGAGUAUACUAAGCCCGAUUAGGUUCCAACAAUCGGGUGGCAUCUACAGUUUACAGGCUAGAUUUUAACGACCGACAUACAGAUAAAGAAUGCAGCACUAACCCUUCAAGUAAAUUUGACAUAACCGUCAUACAGAUGAAAAAUGCAGGCACUCAGGCAGCAUUAUUCUUCAGUUUCAUCGUUCGAUUACUUAGCGCCAUGUACCAUAUAAUCAUACAUCUUACAGUAAUCAAUUUGAAAUCAAGAGAACUCGCGCGAGCCUUGGAGAUUCAUCAACUGCAUUCUUCCCGUCCUUCGGGCUAUAGGAAUUAUACAGAGUAAAUAUCAGGUAACCUAGAGGGGAACCGAGGCUUUUUCGCUAUUCUGGUUCUAUACAGUGUAAAGAACUCCAUAGUUGCUCAUGUUGUUUAUACCUUCUCAGGCUAUACAAGAAUUUGCAUCUCCUUCUUUGAUUUUCUUUACAAUGUAACAAGAACAGGAUAUAUGUAAAGUUUCGUUGUGAAAUUUUUUACCAUCA